rnacentral:rRNA from 1 species
AUGGCUCCAGAGUCGGGCGAGCAGCCCCCUUUGAAGGAGGGGGGUGCACCGCCUCCACCGGUGGCUCCUGUCUAUCCAGGAGCGUCAGAUGAUCUGAUGGGGGCGCUACUAAGCGCCUCCGUUGUGGACGAGCACCGUGUCCUUAUGGGUGCGGUGACCGAGAAGGUUCAGUCCGCCAAGACCGGACUUAAUGAAGCCUGCAGCAGCCUAUUAACAGGUUUCGAGGCGUCCCUGUUGGCCGCGACCUCGCAUGCUGCCGAGGUCUCCGAACUGAAGCGGAGGCUGGAGCGGACCGAGAACGAGCUCGGCGAGGUUAGAAUUCAUCUCUAG